GACAUUUGGUAGAGACUGUUGAAGCCACCUGGUCCCAGCAGACCCCAGAAAAUGGCCACAUUCGCUGGUGCUGUAACAAGGUCAUUAAGGGUGAAACCUGGUGCCAGAUGCGU
rnacentral:rRNA from 1 species